GCAAUAAAUGACUUUUUUUGGGUCAAAAAAUUGAAGUCCGCGCUAGUGAUUAAGCUUGUGAUUCAACGUACCCAAAAAGAUAUUUAAAAAAAAAAAACUUUCUAAUUCUAGAGGAAAUCAUGGGGUCCCUCUCCUCUCUGGUCAGCUACUGAACUGCAGCCUAGUCUUCUGUAAAGCUCUAUCUCUUUGUUUAACUUCUUGAAGAGAUUGGUAAAUAAAGAAAGCGAAAAACAGAAGAGAAAGCGUUGGCGAUGGCCGUGACUGUAGUGACAAUGGAGGUUGGAAAUGAUGGUGUUGCUGUCAUUUCCAUCUCUAAUCCUCCCUUGAAUGUUUUAACCGUUGCCAUAAUUGCGGUAAUGAAGGAGAAAUUCAGUGAGGCUACGAGGAGAAGCGAUGUUAAGGCUAUUGUUUUGACCGGCAAGGGUGGAAGGUUUUCGGGGGGUUUUGACAUCAGUGCUUUUCAGAAGGUUCAUAAGAGCGGAGAUGUUUCGGAUUCACCAAAUGAAUCAUUUGAUCUCAUUGUCAACACUAUAGAAGAUUGCAAGAAGCCUGUUGUUGCUGCUGUUGAAGGAUUGGCUCUUGGAGGUGGCUUAGAAUUGGCAAUGGGUUGUCAUGCACGUAUUGCUGCUCCAAAAACUCAAUUAGGCUUGCCAGAAUUGACACUUGGGGUGAUUCCUGGACUCGGAGGUACACAACGUCUUCCAAGGCUUGUAGGGGUAUCAAAGGCUGUUGAAAUGCUGCUGUUUUCCAAACCAAUAAUGUCUGAAGAAGGAAAGUUUCAAGGUCUUAUUGAUGACAUUGCAUCUUCUGAAGAGUUACUGAGAGCAUCUCGACUAUGGGCUUUAGGGAUUGUGGAGAGACGUAAACCAUGGGUACGUUCUCUCCACAGAACAGACAAAAUUGGAUCCCUAUCUGAAGCACAGGGGCUGUUAAGAAAUGCUAGAGAACAAGCCAAAAGGACUGCUCCAAAUAUGCCUCAGCACCUGGCAUGUCUUGAUGUAGUUGAGGAGGGCAUUCUCCAUGGAGGAUAUGCUGGGCUUCUAAAGGAGGCUACAGUGGCCAAAGAGUUAGUCCUGUCAAAUACUUCAAAAGCUCUUGCUCAUCUUUUCUUUGCCCAACGUACUACAGCAAAGGUGCCAAACAUUACUGAUGUUGGUCUGAAACCAAGGCAUGUAAAGAAAGUUGCUAUUAUUGGUGGAGGCAUAAUGGGCUCGGGAAUAGCUACAGCUCUUAUCUUAAGCAACAUAUCUGUUUUUCUCAAGGAAAUCAACUCUGAAUAUCUCCUAAAAGGAAUGAAAACAAUAGAAGCAAAUAUUCAAGGCUUAGUAACUAGGGGAAAAGUGACACAGGAUAAGGGGCGGAAAGCCCUUUCAAUGCUGAAAGGAGUGUCCGACUAUUCAGAAUUUAAGGAUGUGGAUAUGGUCAUAGAGGCAGUCAUUGAGGAUGUUCCUUUGAAACAAAAAAUCUUUACUGAACUCGAGAAGGUCUGCUCUUCUUGCUGCAUUUUGGCUACAAAUACAUCCACCAUUGACCUUAAUGUCAUUGGGGAAAAGACCAACUCACAAGCUCGUAUCAUAGGGGCCCAUUUUUUCAGUCCUGCUCAUGUAAUGCCUUUACUGGAGAUUGUACGAACGGAGAAAACUUCCCCACAAGUUAUUCUUGAUCUCCUGACUGUUGGAAAAAUAAUAAAGAAAGUUCCUAUUGUGGUAGGUAACUGCACUGGCUUUGCAGUUAACCGAACAUUCUUCCCCUAUAUGCAAGGUCCACAUCUUUUGGUCAAUUUAGGUGUGGACUUGUUCAGGAUUGACAGGGUGAUCAGGAAUUUUGGCCUUCCCAUAGGUCCUUUCCAGCUUCAGGACUUGGGUGGAUAUAGACUAGGCUUGGCAGCUGGGAAAGAAUUUGCAAAUGCAUUUCCUGAUCGAACAUUCAGGUCUCCAUUGACUGAACUUUUGUUGAAAAAUGGACGAAAUGGCAAAAGCAAUGGAAAAGGAUUUUAUAUUUAUGAAAAGGGGAGCAGGCCAAAACCUGAUCCUUCAGUGCUACCUAUUAUUGAGGAGUCCAGACAGCUUAUGAAUAUUAUGCCUGGUGGAAAGCCUAUAUCAGUUACAGACAAAGAAAUUCUAGAGAUGUUAUUGUUUCCAGCAGUUAACGAGGCAUGCCUUGUUUUGGAUGAGGGUGUAGUAGCUCGAGCAUCAGACCUUGAUGUUGCAUCUGUACUUGGAAUGAGCUUCCCAUCUUACCGUGGUGGAAUCAUGUUUUGGGCAGAUACAGUUGGGUCAAACCAUAUCUAUACGAGUCUCAAAAGAUGGUCAGAAAUCUAUGGUAGCUUCUUCAAACCAUCUAGGUUUUUGGAAGAAAGAGCCGUGAAGGGCAUGCCACUGAGUGCACCAGCAACAUCAUCUCCAAAAUCGAACUCAAAGCUCUAGGCCGAUGAAGGUGCGGUGGCUGAGAGGAAAACCAAUGUUACAUCUGUCUUAAUGCACACAAACCUUAAAAGCAAUAAGAAAGUUAUUGUCCCUAUUUCCUAUUCUGAAAUAUUUCUUUUGCAUAAAUUGGAAGGUUGAAUUAGAAUGAGAAAUUUGUUGAAACGAUCCAUUUAUCUGGGACUUCUCCGUGCUGUAGAAAAUGCAUAAAUAUCUUUAAGUGGUAUUAAUUAUUAACCCGAACCA